rnacentral:lncRNA from 1 species
GUUAGUGCAAAAGGAGCAGAGGUAAGUCUAGGGUCCAACUUGAAGGCCACUGAGUGAAGCCUGGAGUUCCACUUGUUGCCAAAGGUGAUGAGAACGAUUCACAAAAAGUGUUAAUUUCUGUGGAGAUUACCACUGUGGAAACCGAAGAGGUGACUCAUGAGAAAUACAUGGUUUCAGUAUAGACAGAUAACAUUGUGCAAAGAAGAGAGACAAGGUGGUGGUAACAGCUGGAUGUUCAGUCUAGGUAUAUACCAGGUCAUGGCAAAGAAAUAUUUCAUGGCUGCUUCAUUCACUUAACAGCAUCAGAUCUGACCACUGAAUCAUAGUGUAUUGGCAUGGAAUUGACAAUUCUCUCGAGGGUCUCAAUACAGCAUUGUUUUUUGGUUGGUUGGUUGCUUGCUUUUUUUUAAAGAGAUUUUUAAAAAGUUUUUGAGGAGUCAGAUGCCCACAAAGCAAGCAGGGUUUUCAGCCCUUCUCCAUCACGCUCCUUUGACUAUUCCACCCACGUAAUGUAAGCAUCAUUAAUUGUAAACACAUGAGCAGUUCCACUGAAGCCUGAAGUUAAGUAUGUGUUUAGGUACU